rnacentral:rRNA from 1 species
UGCCAGCAGCCGCGGUAAAACGUAGGAGGCAAGCGUUAUCCGGAGUUACUGGGCGUAAAGCGCGUGCAGGUGGAUUAAUAAGUCACUCAUGAAAGCUCCUGGCUAAACUGGGAGAGGUUGAGCGAUACUGUUAAUCUAGAGUGGAUGAGAGGUAAGUAGAAUUCCUUGUGUAGUGGUGAAAUGCGUAGAUAUAAGGAAGAAUACCAGUGGCGAAGGCGACUUACUGGCAUCCAACUGACACUCAGACGCGAAAGCGUGGGGAGCAAACAGGAUUAGAUA